AUGAGUACUUGGUUUAACAAAGAUUGUAGAUUUAGCAUUGAGCUUUUUAAAUGUUAAUGUUCAUUAGCAUCUGAAAGGGACUACCAGAAGAAGAGAGUAGAAUAGAUCAAGAUUCUUAUUUAGGGAAACUGUUUGGCGUGCCUGAAGCACAGCUGAUAAUAAUGGAUGUUYCAGCAGUCUACCCCUUACCUGCUGCUGUUCAGUUGUCUUCCUGAGCCAAAGACCUAACAAAAGCUGCAGUCCGAGCCCUGACAGUGUCAUUAGUCCAGGAAGGAGGAGGAGCAGAAAGACACGGCACGCACGUAUGGAGGAUGGAAGCAAUUAUAAUGCAUGAAGUAGGAGGGAGAAAAUUAUGGGGAAAUUAUCUUUAGCUGCUCACUGAUAACUACCUUCAUAGAUUAUAAAAG